rnacentral:rRNA from 1 species
UAUUGCAUAAUGGGGGAAACCCUGAUGCAGCGACGCCGCGUGAGCGAUGAAGUAUAUCGGUANGUAAAGCUCUAUCAGCAGGGAANNCCNNNANGGUACCUGACUAAGAAGCCCCGUCUAACUACGUGACAGCAGCCGCGGUAAUACGUAGGGGGCAAGCGUUAUCCGGAUUUACUGGGUGUAAAGGGAGCGUAGACGGCUGUGCAAGCCAGAUGUGAAAGCCCGGGGCUCAACCCCGGGACUGCAUUUGGAACUGCGUGGCUUGAGUGUCGGAGAGGCAGGCGGAAUUCCUAGUGUAGCGGUGAAAUGCGUAGAUAUUAGGAGGAACACCAGUGGCGAAGGCGGCCUGCUGGACGAUGACUGACGUUGAGGCUCGAAAGCGUGGGGAGCAA